ACACACACACACACACACACACAAACGCACCAAAUUUUCCAUGCACACAGUUCACCACAGGCAGGUGUCUUGUGAUGCAGCGAAGCACCUGUUUCUUGCUCUCUCACUCUCAAAUAAACACACACAUGCAAAUUCAUACAUGUAAUCCCACAAGGUGUGUACUGUCAGCAGUGAGCUAAGCAUGCUAGCUGUGCUAUGUCAAUGUCAUCCCUGCAUACUGACCUAUCUGUACAUAUAGCUAACACUGACACUUUCAAGCUGACACCACUGUCCCAGCCACAAACACACACACGCUCUAUACACAUAUGUGCCUUUGCUUCUGUAAGUCGUACAGAGAUAUACGAUGUGAAAAACAGUUUGAUACAGGUCCUGCUGACUCAGCAGUCCUGUGGAUGGUGAGAAAGAGAGGCAGAUGCAGAGACGGAGAGAGACAGAGACUUGCUAACAGAUGAAAUACUGCAGUGAAGCAGCCUCAUGCGACUCCUCCCUCUCUCUGCCCCUCCCUCUUUCCUCUCCCAUCUUUGUCCACCUCUCUUGCUACCUCUCACGCCUCUUUCCUAGUACCUCUUCUGUCUGACCCCUCUACUACCCUCUAUAUUACAGUUUUUCUGUCUCUCCCCAUCUACGCUUUUCAGCACUCCAUGCAAUUCUCUCUUACGUCCUUCUUUUUUCCUCCAUUGUUCGCUUCUCUCACAAGGUCAAUGCAGAAAAAAAAGGCAAAACGUAGUGAGAAGAAAUGUACUAUAAAGAGUGCUCCUUUGUUGCUAGGCAGCAGGGAUGUUGUAUAAGAGUGCAUCCUGCUGACUGUUGCUGAUUUUAUACAGACAAUCAGAGACAAUCUAAUCUGGGGAAAAUGAGAAGGGUCAUUCUGGCCUCCAUCUCCACUGGACCAAUCAUGGACGAUGUUCUGCAGCCAAUCCAGGACCUGAUUUUGUCUGUAGUAAGUAUAUGAGAGGUAAGCCAUGGCACACUGUCUAUUCUUUUAACUCAAAACCCACCUCUCUGCACAUUAAAUAAAAGACACAGCUAUAAUCCAUUGCUAGUUUCAAAGUGCUUUGUAAUAAUUAUUCUUUUUUUUCUGCCCUUGUGUAGUCAGUGUUAUUAGGACAGCACGCAGUCACAUGCAAUCGUCGUGCUGAAGAUUUUCCUGUUCAGUUACACCCUGAAUCAGGGCAGAUAAAAUUUUGGGACUGCUCACUCACAGAUGUUGAGAUUUCAUCACUAAUCCCACAGAGCUUUCUUCUCUGCGGCCUGAGGAGUUGAGAGGAUGAGAAAGAAGAGCAAUGCCGAAGAGUGAGAAAGUCAUGGAUAGUUGGUUGACUAUAUUAUAAAUAGACAGAAAAGUACAUAGUUUAGAUUAGCAUUAAAUCAAGUACUUUUUAUUUAUUUUGUACCUUGUAUGCAACACAAGUAAAAUGAGCUAUGAUAGUUUAACCAUGAGUAUGUUGGUCUUAAUUAUUUAAAAAUCUGACAUGGUGAUUACAAUACAUUUAAUCUUCAGUAAAGGUAAAUAAAACACGGUUCCUUCAUGAUUCCUUUGUAUAUAUGUAGGUGAAUAUCCGCAAAAAUGCAGAAAACACACAGAGAACAUAAAACAGCCUGAAAAGUACAACUGUAGAUGUUUUUCUCACUGGAUCCAGAAGAGGGUGCUGUGACUCCAUGGUUCACACAGCCAUGCUUUGGAAUAAAACUGUCAUAAUUUAAACAUUAUUAAUUUGACUUCUUUCUGAACAAACUUACCCUACAAGUUUUCCUCAGCUUAUUAAGCAUCAGCAUCAGCAUUCAAGCCAAAGAUAAAAUGCUCUUUUUACACAGUGAGUUAGUUAAUGAUGGAAUUAAAUUUGGUCUGGGGUAGUUUUCCCUAAUGAAUGUACUUUUCAUUACACUUUAAACUGGUCACAUUAGAGGAGACUUAAAGGCAUUUUCUCGUGAUAACAAACACAAAUAGAUGUGGAAAGUCAACUGUAGGCUAUUUGAGGAGACCUGGUGUAUGUCAUUGUUUCAGUUCUCCAUACUAUUAUCCAGUGAGAAAAGGAGAAAAUUGAGGAACUUUUCCUUUAACAUUAUUAAUUAUUAUUAUCAUCAUCAAUUAUUAAUAUGACGGGUUUUUUUUCAAUCAGAAUUUUGAUCAAAAGUAUAAUUUUUUUUAUUUAAAGUGUAUAUUUUUUCUGGACAAAGCACAGACAUACAGACAUACAGAAAUCUUGCACAAAGAUUAUUUCCACACAUUUCUGUCAGUCCCCUGAAUAUAGACGUACGGAAGCCCAGGAGUGACAACAAAGGUGCAGGUAUGAUAGUACACUGAUGGUCCUCCAAGUAAGCUCAGAAGUCCGCUGACGUGCCACUGGGACACAAGCUCCACUGAGUUUGAUAGGAAGUUUGAUUGACAGCUCUGUUCUCCUGCCUCCCUUUCUCAUCAUGUCUUCCACACACGUCCGUCUUGUCCCUCGCUUCUGACACCCCAGACUCUUUGAUCACUCAUGUUUGUACUGCACUGCAGAGAAGUGCUGAAGACUACAGCGAGAGGAGGAGAGAAAUAUAAGGAAAGGGGAGGAUAGGGAGAAAAUAUUCCAUCUCUUUGUUUUUCUCUCUGUGGCAUCUUGCCUUGUGGGAGUGAAGCUCUUUGAGGGGAAUUGGAGAACUUAACACUGGUGUGUGUGUGUGUGUGUGUGUGUGUGUGUGUGUGUGUGUGUGUGUGUGUGCAUGCGUAUGUGUGUGUGUGUGUGUGUGUGCGUGUGCAGGAACCCGGGAGACCAUGACAGCGUCUCUCUUGUUGACUUCUAAAAGUCCUCCAGUGGCCUGAGACAUGAUGCUGUGCCAUGUCCUCAGAUAACCAGAAGGAUUUGAAGACAAAACACCAAGAAGAAAAGCAAGAGACAAAGAAAAAUAGGAAGGAGGAAGGACGUGAAAGUAAGCUAAAAGAAAAGACAGUUGAAUAGACAAAAGUUACAAAAAGUACAGGAAGAAAGAAUUCAUUAGAGCCAAGUGUACAAGUGAGACACGGUGCAAGAGACAGAAAUAAAGACAAAUGAGAACAGAGGUAAAGGGGAUAAGACAGAGGUAGAGAAAUGAUAAAAGUAUAGAUCUUCAAUGGGAUAACAAGGAGACGUGUCAUUCAUCUGUCAAGGUGACAAGAAGUACAGCUGACACUCUCCGUCACAGAAGAUGCCGCUGAUUUAUUGACUUUGCGUCUCCCUGAGUUCAAAUUGCGGUUAACUGCUGAGCUGUGGCAGCGUCCUGCCUGGGCGUGGCUGCAGAGGCCUUUUAAGUGAAAUAAAACACCACCACAAAGUCUUAAUUUAUUCAUGGGCCCAGUGGGACCAGUUUAUGGUGAUUAUUCUGUCUGUGUAGAGGGCCUGCAGUGACACAGCAACUCCAUACCCCUGGCUGUAACAUAACACACAGCUAUAAAUCCAAGACACAAAGGUACAAUACAAUUAUGCAAUAUGACCGCAUCAACACAGCAUAUUGAUAAACACACACACACACACACACACACACACACACACACACACACACACACACACACACACACACACACACACACACACACACACAGGCCAUGGUGGUCUACUCAGCCAUCGGUAUAGCCAAAGACUGAGCUAAGAGACAGAGAGGAGAGGGAGGCAUCUUGGCUCAUGCUAAUUUAGCUAACUCACGCUAAGAUUGUGAAGAACUCAGUUACAAUGUCAUGAUUUCCUAUUGUAGUUAUUGUGGUAAUUCUCAUUUAUGUUUUGUUUUUUCCACCAAAAUCUCCAGAUUCCCAUCCACAAUUCUGGAAAACAAUCUGACUUUCCAGUUUUUACUCUUUGAAUUUUGUUUACAUUCAGCCACAUGACAUGUAUCUCUGCUACCCAGGACUCAAAUCUGAUUGCUUCUGCCUCACAUUUCCUUAGAUUCAAAUCUUAAACCCUAUUCCAAUCUAGCACUACAGAGCUGUAAGGCACCUGAAACAGUUUGGUAACUGUUACCCAAAGCACCAGAAGAAUAACUUUUUAGCCAUUUAACAGUUUAGUUAUAACAGGUUACAGUUAAGUAGCAAAUAAAAUCAAAUUCUAAUCAUUGUACUUUGCAUGAUUUUUAUGUCAUUUUGUUGCAGGUUUUGUUGUGACCAUGACCUUCCUGUGUCUCGUCAGUUUUAUUUAAGUACUUCACAUACUUGUGAUCAGACCUGGGCUCGUCACACUACUUAUAAUUUAUGUAGCCUAUGUCCUUACAGUAAACCCACAUAAUCCUGGCUUUUUAUUCAUAUCAGGUCUGUGUUAUGUGCUGAGACAUCACUAGGCUUAAACGCCUGUGACUUUCAGUCUGUGACAGAUUUAAAGAACUAAACCUUGUUAAACAAGUGGGAUUUGUUUAGGAAAUGGGGUAACUCGACAGGAAAGCAAAGUAUUGGCAUCUGGUGUUUGGUCACAUGAGACUCUAAAUGUUUUAAUUGGUUCAACAAGAGUCUGCAUUGCAAUAAAAAAAAUAAAAAAAAAGUCAUUGUGUGUGAUAUCUUUAAGUCAGUAAUAGGAGCUAAUCUAAGGUAUUCUGCCUGAGAUUUCAAUAUUGAUUUAGUAACAUAUCUGUGAAAACAGUAAUUUACUGUAAAAUAUGUAAGGAAAGCACUACGGAUUACACUGAGGCUAUCAUCAGAUCCUGCGCAGGUGUGGAAACAAAGCGGAGGGAUGAUAAUAUCUUCCCACACCAUGUACAAUAUGAAACCAAGGAAAUCCUUACACCAAACCAUGUCUGAGUCUGACAGUGGCAGAACAAGUACCUAAAAUCUCACAUGAAAUCCCAGUAGCUACUUUCAUUCUUCCUGUUCCUUCCUGUUUGAUAACUUCUCUUAUGGCUGUAUCCCUCUCUUAUUAACAGCUUCUCUUCUCUUCCCUUCCCUUCCCUUCUCUUCUCUUCUCUUCAAGCACGGGAUAGUAGCGGCUCUAAUCAAAUAUGCAGGUCACCGUUUGUGCUCCAUUCGUUUAA